UACGGGGGGGGCAAGCGUUGUUCGGAAUUACUGGGCGUAAAGGGCGCGUAGGCGGCCUGUUAAGUCGAACGUGAAAUCCCCGGGCUCAACCCGGGAACUGCGUCCGAUACUGGCAGGCUUGAAUCCGGGAGAGGGAUGCGGAAUUCCAGGUGUAGCGGUGAAAUGCGUAGAUAUCUGGAGGAACACCGGUGGCGAAGGCGGCAUCCUGGACCGGCAUUGACGCUGAGGCGCGGAAAGCCAGGGGAGCAAA
rnacentral:rRNA from 1 species